UACGGAGGGUGCGAGCGUUGUCCGGAAUCACUGGGCGUAAAGGGCGCGUAGGCGGCUCGGUAAGUAGGGGGGUGAAAUCCUGCGGCUUAACCGCAGGGCUGCCUUCUAAACUGUCGAGCUCGAGCACGGUAGAGGCAGAUGGAAUUCCGGGUGUAGCGGUGGAAUGCGUAGAGAUCCGGAAGAACACCGGUGGCGAAGGCGGCCUGCUGGGCAGUAGCUGACGCUGAUGGCGCGACAGCGUGGGGAGCAAACAGG
rnacentral:rRNA from 1 species